rnacentral:lncRNA from 1 species
AGGGGAUUUUGCCCGACACUCGUACCUAUACUAUAUUGAUCAAUGGUUAUUGUAAGAAGAAGAAAGUAGACACAGCAACAACUCUCUUAGAAGAAAUGCCCCUGAAAGGUUUAACACCUACAGUUGAAACAUACAGUACUAUUUUGGAUGGCUUAUUUCGCACGCGUAGGCUUGAUGAAGCACAUAAGUUUUAUAGGAAGAUGUUAAACCAAGGUGUCAGACUGGAUAUAGUGACAUGUUGUACCUUGCUUCAUGGACUUUGCUGGAAUGGACUGGUUGUUGAAGCAAUGUUCUUGUUUCACAAGAUGGAGUCUUGUGGCUUAGUUCCUGAUAUACACAUUUAUAGUAUUCUGAUUCAUGGAUUGUUCAAGGACGGCAAGGUUGACAAGGCAAGGAACCUUUUUCAUAAUCUUCUUUUGAAGGGUUUACAGCCUAGUGUCAAAACCUACACCAUUAUGAUCCAUGGAUUCUGCCAAGAAGGGUUGCUGGAAGAAGCAUAUAAAAUACUUUUGGAAAUGGAAGAACACAAUUGCUUGCCUGAUGAAGUUACCUACAACACUCUUAUUCGUUGCUGCUUUAAGAAUAAGAUGUAUGAUGGAGGUUGUAUGCUUAUAGAUGAGAUGGUUGCUCAUGGUUUCAAAGCAGAUGCCUCUACCGCCUCGAUGCUAUUUAAUUUGCUGCAAUUAAAAGAGCAGGACCCUGCGCUCGUUGCUUUGCAGAAGAAGUUCAUGCCUUGACUACGCGAGUUUAUUAAGGUACAAAAUACUUUUAAAUUUCCAGAACUUUGUAAUAAUUUGCUACGAUAUAUAUUGCCAAUAGCAAUUGUGAUAUUGGAGUGAAUAAUAUGUAAUUUUGUUGAAUAUGUAAUUUCCAGAACCAUUACAAUUAUUUUUUGAUAUAUUAGUUCUUAAUAUAUGUUUUUUUUCUUCGUCUCUAUGUAGUUUUGAACUUUCUUCCAAAGAAAGGGAAUCCUUCAGAACUACUAUUUAUAUAUUAUUAAACUUGUUUUCUCUGCAUAAAAAUUGUUUUGUCAUGCAUACUUAAAUAUGAUGAUUCAGUCUGCAACAUUAUUAUUUACUUGCACUCUCUUGUCAGUUUGUUAUCUUUUGUCGUAGUCCACUAGCACUUCUCUUUACUGCAAGGUUAGUUUAAAUUAGUAUAAAGUAGAGUUUAAGUGCAGCAGAGUUGAAGUUCAACCGUUAAAGUCAUCAGUACCAAGAUGCGACACUGGGGUCAGUCUAUAAUGUGUGCUAGUCCUUUAUGUAGAUUAAACUUAUUGCGGCUACUUUGUGAAUAAGAGAAACGACGAAGGAUGUGUGCUUAUAGACAAGAUGGUUGCUCAUGGUUGUCCUACUGCAUGCCUCUAGAACCUCCAUCUUGUUAGACUUGAUCGAAGUAAAAGGACCGGCUCUCCUUGCUUUGCAGAAGAACUUUUUGCCCCUGAGAACGUUAAGGAGAGAGUUUGUUAAGGUACACAAUACUUAUAAACUGCCAACACUUCGUCAGAGUUUGCAGCAGAUUUUGAAGGCAAUAGAAACUUUGAUAUUGGAAUUCAUGAUAUGUAAUGUUGUUAAAUAUCAAAUUUUAAGAUGGUGGUCAUAUUUUGUAUUAGAGCAUGUAUUUUCUUUGACAAUGCAGAAAAGCUGGUUCCUCAAGAGAUGCAGAUACCACCUCACAGGAUAUUGGAAUUCAUGAUAUGUAAAUUGUAAUGUGAAAUGGAUGUAGACAUUGAUAUUAUACUGGUUUCAAUUUGGCAGCGGCACACAUAAUAAUAGUAGGAUAAUUAGCUGGUCUGCUUUUGCAAAGGAGAUCUCUUUGCAGGUUGGAGUCUUGGAGGUGCUUGUUUCCUAAAGUGAUGUAUCAUGGAGGUUGUGUACUUAUAGAUGAGGUGUGUGCUCCUGGUUUCAAAACAGAUGCCUCUACCGCCUCCAUGUUAUUCGAUUUGCUGCAAUUGAAAGAGCAGUGCCCCGUGCUCCUUGCUUUGCAGAAGUUCAUGCCUUGAGUACAUCAAGGAGAGAGUUUGUUAAGGUACAAAAUACUUUUAAAUUGCCAAAACUUCGUAAUAGUGUGCUACAAAAUUUUUAAUCAAUAGCAAUUAUGAUAUUACAGAUAAUAGAAUGAAAUUGUUGAAUAUCAAAUUUCGAACUGGUGGCCGUGUUGUAUUUGCAUUUUUUCACAAAACGAGAAGUGUGGUAGAGCAUCUAUUUUUCUUUAACAGAGAGCUGCUUUCUUAGGAGAUGCAUACCACCUGUAUAUUACCGGACCUUCUAUUCUUGCUCUGCAUGGUACAUACUGGCAUCUGUUGAUUUGGUGUAAAAAUUAUUAUUUACUUGCACCUUCGUGAAACUACUUUUGAUAUAUUAUUAAACUUGUUUUCAGACUGUAGUCACAAAUUUGUUUUUAAAAAAUGCCUCCAGUCAAGUUUGUUUAUUCAGAAAUAUCCUAUGCAACUACAUAUACACAUAUCGGCAGGGUAAAAUGGCUAAUUCAUAACAAAGCUGCUUAAAAACUUGCAGUUUGGUCAUGGAGUUAAAAAAGCUCACAGUCAACUAAUGAAGUAUUAAAAAACUUGCAUAUUAAUAACUCCCGUUAACUCUGUUAAUAACAUAACGGAAAUAAGCUCAUUUUCAAAUAGAUCACUGGAUGAAGAACAACACUGCAAAUACAUCAUUCCAAACAUAAUAACCAUCCACCCCCCUGCAGUUACAAUAAUAAAGAGAAUUAUCAUCCCACCUUCAGUUACAGUCACAAAAAAACUAGCAUAUUACCAAGUUUACGGUGUCCAAAAAGCAAGAUGUUCCCCACUAGCAAAUUACAAAUAUUAAACUACAGUCCUGUUUUUCUUGGGACCUUGAAUUUUCUCACAGGAAGCUUUGGCCUUCCUCUUUUGCUGGUCCCAGCCUCAUGUGGUUGCAGCUUUGAAGGAGAUGGAGUCCCACCUGUGCCAUGUGUUGCUUGAACAUUUGGUGUAAGCAUCUGCAUUUUAAUGAAACAAACAAUUAAUACACUAGUUUGUGCAUGAAUUAAAGCAAUUGAAAGGAUAAAAUAACUUACAAAAACCAUUCUUUGGCUUCUUCUAGGUGUAGUUGGUGGUGGUGCACUAACCACAUGCUCAGCCUCCAAAAUCUCAUCCAUAAGUUCAGCUUCCCCUGUCUCCCUUUCCCUCCCAACCCUCUCACUUUCUGCAGCUCUUUCAGCUUCUUCUUCAGUCAUCUGUCUCCUCUUUGGCAUCCUUUUUCUGACUGGCUUCUCCACAUAAUCAGCAGGCUUGUUAGGGCAUUUGCCUCUAGUAUGCCAUGUCUCUCUACAGAUUGUGCAAUGCAUUACCCUCCCCAUCCUAGAGAAGUUUAGUCUUUGGGAUUGCUUCAUCCUUCCUCUAGCCUCCUCCCACCCUUCCCUCCUCCUCUACCUUUUAGGCCUUCCCCUCAGCUGCUUCACAAAUGGUGGUGGGAGAACUGUGUCUCCCAUUGUCUCCUUCCAAAAGGGUUCCCCCCUCAGCACUUCCAAACAAAAUGAGUAAGUCCUCAUAUAUGUAUCUUUCUUGAACCAAUGUUCCACAUAGUCAACUGGAUCUUCUCUUAUUUUUUGAAUGGCACAAACAGAAUGAGAGCAAGGUAUGCCAGUUAACUCCCAUACUCUACAUGAACAAGUACUUUCUUUCAAAUUAACACAAAAACCUACCCCCCUCCAUUUCACUUGAAAGUUAUCCUGACCAUCCCACAACACACUGCACUCACUACUCUCCAAAACAGAUCUGGCUUUAGGCACAAGCACACAAUCUACAUCCCUCAUUGCAUCUCUCUUUUUAUGUAUCCUCUCCAUAAGCAUAUCAUGAAUUUCUGUAAGCAUAUCAGUUAAGGGCAUGUACCUUGUCUUGAGGAUCCAAGCAUUGAAGCACUCAGAGAUAUUGUUGUCAGUGCUUGCACAUUUGGAAUGAGUUGCAAAGUAUGCUUGAGACCAUACUUUGGGAUCCAGUUCAUUCAUCUUCUGAGCAGCCCUUUUGGAGUGCUUUUCAAGGUCCUUCAUUGCAACCUUGAACUGAGCUGGAUGUGUGGAUGUACAAGCUCUCCAAAAUGCCACUUUGACAGCUUCACCUGGAUGCUUCUUAGACAAGUUGGAAGACAAAUGUCUAGCACAAAAUCUGUGCUCCACAAGAGGGAGAAAUUCCCUCACUGCCUUAUCCAAGCCCUACAACAAAGGUCAUAAAACCAAAACAAAAUUAGAUUCACAUAGAACACAAAAACAAAGCUGAAAAAUUAGUUGUAAGGCAAGAUAUUAGCACCUUUUGUUGAUCUGAAAUUAGUGUAUAUCCAGUGCCAUCUCCCAAGUCUAGAUCUUCAAUCAAUAGGAGUAAGAACCAACUCCAAGAAUCAUAAGAUUCAGACUCUACCACAACCAUUGCAAAUGGGAACAUGCUGUCAUUGCCAUCGCUUCCAACUGCUGAAAGAAGCUGGCCACCACACACAGAUUUGAGAAAGCAGCCAUCCAGACCUAUGAUUGGUCUACAUCCAGCCUUCCAACCCUUUUUCAGCUUGUCAUAACAGACAUAAAAUCUCUGAAAAUGAGGUGCAUCUCCCUCAUUCACCCUUGUUGUACAGAUCUUCACUGUGUUGUCCUUAUUUCUCCUCAAAAUUUCACCCCCAAAGUUCCUAACCCAAGCAUAGUGUUUUUUCAUCUCUUCCUCAACUUGACUUAAGGCCCUCUGUCUCACCCUACAACACUUAGCUUCACCAACUUCAACCUUCAAAGUUGUCCUGAAUUCUUCUUGCAUUUCUUUAAGCUUCCAACUAGGAUUUCUUCUUAUCCUAGGACCAUACAGAUCUGCUAGGUACUUGACAGUCACAAGCUUAUUUCUGUAUUGGUAGAUGCAGUUAUGCUCAUCAUUAACUGUCUUCAGCUGCCAACAUUUAUUCUCCUUCAAGUAUGAGAACCACAUCUUAAAGGGACAUCCUUUACUGCACACAACUUGGAUCCUCUGUUGGUCAUCCACACUGUACUUCAGUGGCCUCCCAGAUGCAAUAGAAAAGCUCCUAACUGCAUCUUUGACUUGUGCUUUAUCCUGCAUCUUUGACUUGUGCUUCAUCACCUAUAUCUUCUGCAGCCUCAUUCUCACACAACUCAUAAUCUUCCCCAUCCCCAUUCACAUGAUAAAGGUGUAGCCUAAUGACCCCAGCACCAUAGGCUUUUGUUGCUACAUGAACAAUUUCCGGGAUUUGAUCAUCACUCACAAGCAGUUUGUACCCACCCCUUAGACUAACACCAUUACACAGAUAAUAUAACUUAUCAGAUUCUCCAACGACAAAAUCAAACAUAUUUCUUAUAUAGCUCACACUCAAUUUCUCAACAUCAACCCUAAUCCUUUUCAUUGUAUCCCUACCCACAUACUCUCUAACACCAGUUAAAUUAGGAGUAACAAACCCACCAUUAUAAAACAACACAAUUCGAACAGUCCUGUAUACACACAUAAUAUACAUACGAAUUUAGGGUUUAUAGACACAUGCAUACAAAAUAUAGAGGGUUUACUGAAUCAACAAGAGAAUUAGAGAGGAAACUUACUCCAUUAUGCACGAAAUCGAGAAAUCGUCGCCGGUGAGUAGUUCAGUUCAAUCGUCGCCUCCUCUUUCCCACUCAAUCGCACUGCUGUCUGCUUAGAUAUGUAAUAAAAUGUGUUUUAAGUUUUAUUAUGCAUAUUUAGAUGUAAUUAGGCUUGGGUCGGGUCGGUGUAAGCUUGGGUCGGGUCGGGUUCACGGGUAUUUUAGCGGAGACGUUAAAAGUCAAAGGCACUUUAACCUUUGUGUAAGUUUCUGUUAGCACGGUCGUUCGAUUGAAUUUUUUUUAAAACAAAGUUAUGUGUUUGAGAGUUGUUUCAACUCCAUGACCAAACUGCAAGUUUUUAAGCAGCUUUGUUAUGAAUUAGCCAUUUUACCCCAUAUCUGCAACUAUUAUUGUAAAACUAUAAGAACAUCGUGGAGAUGGUAGAUUAUGGCUGAAGAAAGUAGAAGACAAUGAGCAAGGCUAUCACUACUUCCAUAAGAUUAAUCCACUCUCUCUUUUCUCCACUUAAUCAGACCCCGAUCCCGAAACCCCCUAAACUCCUUCAUGGAUACCUCAUCCGCAACUUCAACAGUUACUUCAUUAGAAAAAUGGUCGGUUAUAUGAGUUCCGUGGUGCUAUUCUUGUGUUAGACAAAAUGCUCCAAGCGAGACCUCGUACUAGUGUUAUCGACUUUAAUUAACUGUUAUCCACGAUCAUUACAAUGAAACAAUACUAUGUUGCUGAAUCUUUUUACUGAUACUUAUGCUUUUACCAUUCCAGUUAUUCUAUAUGCCAGUCAUCGAAAGGUAAGCAGCUGCUACUAAUCAUCCAUCUUCUGUCAAAUUCCCCUACUUUUGCAAUAGUAGUUUUGUUUUAAUUUCUACAUAAAUUUUUUAGCGGCUUAUUUAUACUCCGAUCAUUCAGAUUUGUACUGAAAUAUACACUGACCACUAAUUUUUUUCAUCCAAUUUCAUCAUUCUAGUUUGACGAUUGACGACUAUGCACUCCAGCUAUAGAUCUGGUAAAAAUAGUUACUUGUGUUACACUUACCGGCACAAGAGCGUAUAUGAGCAUGGUUAUGAACACCGUAAUUAUUUGUAUAAUAUAUAUCAAUGUCAGGCCUCACAAUCACCGACGUCAAGAACCUCUUCAGGAUGCCUAGCAGCUCAAGAUCAUCACCGAGACGAUUAAUGGAUCCCAUAAGUUUCUAUCUGGAAAGGGAAGAAUAAGCAGUCAUUUUGUUUGAUCUUUGGUGAGCUUUCUGUAUAGACUUAAGUAUAGCGACAUGCUUUGUUUGCUGUUCAUAUUUUUAUCAUAAUUCUUGUACUUUUACUCUUAAUCGCCUAAUGUUGUAUUAAAUUUACUCCAGAAAAUUCAUGGAAAUUAAAUAACAUUCUUUUCACAUGGAUGAUUGAUUUUUCUCCUUCAAAUGGAGGGUAGAAUUUUAAUGGAAAUAGGGAAGAAAAAGAUUAAUUUUCUGUGCCAUCAAUUAUGCUGUAGUCUGCACUUAUAUAACUUUGUUUCUUCAAUGACUGGCUUACAUUUGGAAGACGCUUUAAAAUAUAGUAGCCUUGUUUAUUAGUAUAAGUUUUUAACUAAAAUUUUUCUUUCUAGUAUUUAUAAUCUGGUAACAGGAGGAAAAGAGUCAAUGUUGCUAAUUGUGAUAAUAUCUCAAACUAUUUGCCGGUGGAAAUCUAAUAUUCUUGCAGACUUCUAUAACUGAAAUGAGGUCUAUGUAGGAUACUGUCUUGGUUCCUGCUUCACCGGUGACAAAUAAGAGUCUUCGGUAGUGUCUGAGGAUUUAUUUAGAGCACUGCAAGUUUUGGCAUCAAUGUUGUUUUCUAUAAUUAUAGUAAUAAAUGUCGACGCCAUCAAUUUUUUAUUUCUGUGAUGCACAUAUUAAGUUCUGUUUCUUUUUUUGUGUUUCUUACUGUAUAUAUUUAAACUCAACCACUUUUGCUGCAGAUGGACCCUUGGCAAUGGUAGCAUUAUAGGUCAAUAUUGGUAGCAGUUACAUACAAUUGUUUGCCUGAUGAAACACUCUUAUCCGCGGCUGCUUUAAGAAUAAGAUGUAUGAUGGAGGUUGUUUACUUAUAGAUGAGAUGUGUGCCCAUGGUUUCAAAGCAGAUGCAUCUACCACAUCCAUGCUAUUCAAUUUGCUGCAAUCGAAAGAGCAGGACCCCCGCUGCUUGCUUUGCAGAAGAAGUUCAUGCCUUGACUACAUCAAUGAGAGUUUUAUUAGGGUACAAAGUACUUUAAAUUGCCAAAACUUUGUACUAAUUUGCUACAAUAUUUUAUUUCAAUAGCAAGUGUGAUAUCAGCGUUAUAAUAUGUAAUUUUGUUGUACAUCAAAUUCGAAAUGGUGGUCGUGUUAUAUUCUUGUGACAGACAAUAUUCUCCACAUGAGACUUGGUACUACGGUUAAUAACUUCAAUCACUACAGUGUUUGUUUCCUACUUAUAAGUCCAGCUUCUGGAUUAUAAGUUAGGAGCACUUAUUUGUACUGUUUGUGUAAUAAGUCAAAAAGCACUUAUAAAAAACUAGGAAUGCUAGCUUUUGUUUCAGGAUUUCUACUUAUUUUCCAAACACUUUAAUCACUUAUAAGUCUUAUCUUACUUCUAACUUCUACUCCACUUAUUUAUUUUAAGCAAGAAACACUUAUUUUAAACUCACCGAAACGACCCCGUAAUCUGCCAUUGUUAAAAUCAAACAAUACUAUUUUGCUGUCUUUCUUUACUGAAACUUGUGCUUUAACCAUUACAACCCACCCACCCUCUCAAUUUCUUACACACUCAUUACAACCCUUCCGACCCUCUCAAUUUCUUACACACUCAGCGACCAAUUAUGAAAUCAAAUUUAAUGAAACUCUACUACAACAUGAAAUGACUCAACAUCAUCAUCCCCUUCUUCAUCACUCUCGUCGUUGUCAUGCUCAUCCUUUCCGCGGCGGCGAUACAAUCGCCGCUGCUCGUUGUCGGUGAUGAAACUCUGAUCCCGAUUAUCGACAGACUCCUUCGCUUUUUUCAGGACAACACGAGACAGAAGGAAAGAAGGAGAAGAGAGCGAUGAGAGAGAGAGAGAAAAAAGAAAUCGAGGAGAUGGAGAUGGAGGAGAGAGAGAAAGAGAGGGUGGGAGAAGAGAGACGGAGAGUAAAUGGGUGAGAAGGAUGAUGAGUUUAACCAAUAGAAUGAAAGUAUCGUAUUAAUGCAAUUUUAAUCUCUUUUUUCUCUCACUAAAAUUGUAAAACUGCAACUAGUUUAAUGUAGUAGUAAGUUUGCAAUAGAAAGCAUAAAAACCGGUAUAUCCGAUAAUUUCCCUUUAAAAAAAUACAUAUAUUAAAAAACCAUUAAUUAUAUAAUAUUUUUUCACUUGUAUUUCUAAUAAAUACACGAAUAUAGACUCUUAUACAACUCUUGUUAUACAAUUUUCAAGAAAGAUAAUUUUGAAAUGCUGUUUUCUUUAAGAAGACUGUUAUAGUGAGACGGAGAGUAUACUCCCUCCUUCUCAAUUUAUAGGGUCUCUUUUGAAAAAAAAAAAUUGUCCCAAAAUACAUGUCCCUCUCUUUUUUCAAUACAAAUUUAUUUAUAUAUUAAUUGUGAUUUUUUUGAAACUCAAUAUUAUUCUCAUUUCUGAAUGCACUAAAAGUUUUAUAUUUAUUGUGAUUUUUUUUGAAAAUCCUGUUGUCACCUAACAAUGCAUUAAUUAAUAAUACAUGAGAUCAAAUUAUAUAUAACCAACUUUUUUUUUAAUAUACGUGUUUUUUCUAAAAUGGAACGUUACUUUACAAGCAGCACUCCCCUUUAAAGAAACAGCACAGGAGCAGAGUUUCUAAACACAAAGGCAAGUGCAACUGUGCAAGAUGAAGACGAUGAUAAUGAUAGUGAGGAGGGCUUUCACCACCUGCUUCAAUUCAAACACUCUUCUUCCAUCCCCCAGUCAAGGUACUAAUACUGUUACUGCUACUACUACUAUUACGUUGCUUCGAUUGCAUUCACUUUCUCAGCCAUCCACUUACCCUAACCCUAAUCACAUACCCACUCAUCACACGGAACUUCAACAAUUACUUAACGAGAAAUGUAAGCUUGGUUUUGAUAAGCUGGAUGAUGCUCUUGUUGUGUUUGAUAAAAUGCUCCGUAUGAAGCCUCUUCCUACUGUCAUCCACUUUACUCAACUCUUGGCCGCCCUUGUCAAGACGAAACAUUACUCCGCGGCUGUCUCCGUCUUUUCAAAAAUGUGCUCUUGUAGCAUUCCUGUUAAUAUAAUUACUUAUAACACCGCCAUCAACUGUUGUUGCCACUUCAAACGAGUUGAUUGUGGCUUUGCGCUGUUGGCUGCCAUCUUUAAGCGUGGUUUUGUCCCGGAUGUCGUUACCUACACAACGCUUCUCAGGGGACUCAUUUCCCAGGACAAGUUUCUCGAGGCUGAGCUUAUGUUCAAGAACCUUCUCAAGUGCAAUCAGAUUCAGCCUAAUGCAGUUAUCUUUAACACCAUUAUCAAUGGCCAGUGCAAAACAGGCAACACUUCCCAGGCUGUGAUGUUGCUUAGAUACAUGGAGAACAAAGGUUGUAUGCCGGAUGUAGUAACUUAUAGCACUGUUAUUGAUGGUUUGUCCAAAGACAGAUUAGUUGAUGAAGCUCUGGGUCUUCUUGCCGAAAUGAGUGACAAAAGCAUUCAACCAAGUGUUGUAUCCUAUAACUCAUUAAUUCAUGGUAUGUGCAACCUCAGUCGGUGGGAUGAUAUUAUACAAUUGUUAAAUGAUAUGGACAGACACAAAAUUUCUCCAGAUGAGCAUACCUACAGUAUAUUGGUUGAUGCACAUGCCAGAGAUGGAAAGGUCAAAGAUGCUCAAUAUCUGAUAGAGUUGAUGAUUCAAAGAGGCCAAAAUCCUAAUGUAGUCACCUACAGUGCACUUAUGGAUGGAUACUGCUUGAGAGGAGAAUUGAAUAAAGCGUUAGCAGUGCUCAGAACCAUGACAAGUAAGGGGAUUUUGCCCAACACUCGUACUUAUAGUAUAUUGAUUAAUGGUUAUUGUAAGAAGAUGAAAGUAGACACAGCAAUACAUCUCUUAGAAGAAAUGCCCCUGAAAGGUUUAACACCUACAGUUGAAACAUACAGUACUAUUUUGGAUGGCUUAUUUCGUACGCGUAGGCUUGAUGAAGCACAUAAGUUUUAUAAGAAGAUGUUAAAC